GGGAACGUACCCUUUGGUUCGGAAUAACGCUGGGAAACUAGCGCUAAUACCGGAUACGCCCUUUUGGGGAAAGGCUUGCUGCCGAAGGAUCGGCCCGCGUCUGAUUAGCUAGUUGGUGGGGUAAUGGCCUACCAAGGCGACGAUCAGUAGCUGGUCUGAGAGGAUGAUCAGCCACACUGGGACUGAGACACGGCCCAGACUCCUACGGGAGGCAGCAGUGGGGAAUAUUGGACAAUGGGCGCAAGCCUGAUCCAGCCAUGCCGCGUGAGUGAUGAAGGCCUUAGGGUUGUAAAGCUCUUUUGUCCGGGACGAUAAUGACGGUACCGGAAGAAUAAGCCCCGGCUAACUUCGUGCCAGCAGCCGCGGUAAUACGAAGGGGGCUAGCGUUGCUCGGAAUCACUGGGCGUAAAGGGCGCGUAGGCGGCCAUUCAAGUCGGGGGUGAAAGCCUGUGGCUCAACCACAGAAUCGCCUUCGAUACUGUUUGGCUUGAGUUUGGUAGAGGUUGGUGGAACUGCGAGU
rnacentral:rRNA from 1 species